AACGAACGCUGGCGGCAGGCUUAACACAUGCAAGUCGAACGCCCGUAGCAAUACGGGAGUGGCAGACGGGUGAGUAACGCGUGGGAAUCUCCCCAAAGGUACGGAACAACUCAGGGAAACUUGAGCUAAUACCGUAUGUGCCCGAGAGGGCAAAGAUUCAUCGCCUUUGGAUGAGCCCGCGUUGGAUUAGCUAGUUGGUGGGGUAACGGCCUACCAAGGCGACAAUCCAUAGCUGAUCUGAGAGGAUGAUCAGCCACACUGGGACUGAGACACGGCCCAGACUCCUACGGGAGGCAGCAGUGGGGAAUCUUGGACAAUGGGCGAAAGCCUGAUCCAGCCAUGCCGCGUGAGUGAAGAAGGCCUUAGGGUUGUAAAGCUCUUUUACCCGGGAAGAUAAUGACGGUACCGGGAGAAUAAGCCCCGGCAAACUUCGUGCCAGCAGCCGCGGUAUACGAAGGGGGCUAGCGUUGUUCGGAUUUACUGGGCGUAAAGCGCACGUAGGCGGAUUGUU
rnacentral:rRNA from 1 species